rnacentral:rRNA from 1 species
CACACGGUCUGCGUGUGGGCGUGUGGUGAGCGCGGUUCGGUUGGUAGGUUGGCAGGCGAGCUGGCUGGUCGUUGUCGCCGCAACUGCUGGCUGGCUGGCUGGCUGGCUGGCUGACUGGCUAGGCGGUGGGUUGGCGGGACGGCUGGGUGGUUUGCUUGCUGGCUGGGCUGGCUGGUGCGAUGCUGCACUACUACUGCUUGCGUGCAGUGAGCGUGUGUUGGCAGGAUUGUGUUGCCGUGGCCAUGAAGAAGCACUGUCGUGUCAAGCUGGCAAGGCGAUGGUGUCACCUUUGAGCCAUGUCUGUGGUGUAACAGCUACAGUGUGUGGACGGGUGUUGGGCAGCGCUCUGCACACGUUGUGGAGUCUGUCGGCUCGUCUGCAUGCCUUUGGAUGCCCUUAAAAAGGUGUCUGCGGGCGGAUGGCACGUUUACUUUGAACAAAUUUGAGUGCUCAAAUCAGGCCGAUGUUGCCUGAAAAGUUUUGCAUGGAAUAAUGGAAUAGGACUUCGGUUCUAUUUCGUUGGUUUUCGGAUCCGAAGUAAUGAUCAAAGAGACAGGCGGGGACGUUUGUAUGGCUGCGCUAGAGGUGAAAUUCAUGGACCGUAGCCAGACAGACUAAAGCGAAAGCAUUCGUCAAGCAUGUUUUCAUUGGCCAUGAGCGAAAGUCAGAGGCUCGAAGACGAUCAGAUACCGUCCUAGUUCUGACCAUAAACGAUGCCAACUGACGAUCCGUGGUGGUAGUAGUGUUACCUUCCCCACGGGCAGUCCCCGGGAAACCUUUAAGUGUUUGGGUUCCGGGGGAAGUAUGGUUGCAAAGCUGAAACUUAAAGGAAUUGACGGAAGGGCACCACCAGGAGUGGAGCCUGCGGCUUAAUUUGACUCAACACGGGAAAACUCACCCGGGCCGGACACUGUGAGGAUUGACAGAUUGAGAGCUCUUUCUUGAUUUGGUGGUUGGUGGUGCAUGGCCGUUCUUAGUUGGUGGAGCGAUUUGUCUGGUUAAUUCCGAUAACGAACGAGACUCCAACCUGCUAAUUAGUGCGUUUGUCCACUGCGCCUGCGUAGGUGACGCUGGAUGACACCACCUGUCACGAGGACGUGGCAGCGGCUCUUCUCUCCCCUUCUCCGCUCGAAUGCCCUCCAGCGCCUCCUCCUCCUCCUCCUCCUCUCCUCCCCCUUCUUCAGCGCCUCAUCUGGCCGGCUGGCUGGCUGGCCGGGUGAGGCGGUGGUGGCGGUGGCGGUGGUGAGGGCGAUGGGGUGGGGAUGGUGCGGGUGGGCGAGUGGAUUGUGGUGGAGGCGUGGGGUUGGGUGCGGCGCUCGUGGCCGGUUAGUCUGGCGUUGGCCUCCGGUGUGGCGCGAAUGCCUACUUCUUAGAGGGACAAGCGGGAAAGCCGCACGAAAUAGAGCAAUAACAGGUCUGUGAUGCCCUUAGAUGUCCGGGGCCGCACGCGCGCUACAAUGACGGUGUCAGCGAGUCAGGCCUUCUGGCCCGAAAGGGUUGGGCAAACUGGUCAAUCACCGUCGUGACAGGGAUCGGGGCUUGGAAUUGUUCCCCGUGAACGAGGAAUUCCUAGUAAGUGCAAGUCAUAAGCUUGCGCUGAUUACGUCCCUGCCCUUUGUACACACCGCCCGUCGCUACUACCGAUUGAAUGGUUUAGUAAGGUCCUCGGAUUGGCGUCAUUGCGACGGUGGCCGAGAGGUCACAGCCCGAGGGGCGCUGAGAAGACGACCGAACUUGAUCAUUUAGAGGAAGUAAAAGUCGUAACAAGGUUUCCGUAGGUGAACCUGCGGAAG